GCAGCAGCCGCGGUAAUACGGAGGGGGCUAGCGUUGUUCGGAAUUACUGGGCGUAAAGCGCACGUAGGCGGCUUGGUAAGUUAGAGGUGAAAGCCUGGAGCUCAACUCCAGAAUUGCCUUUAAGACUGCCGAGCUAGCAGGUGAGAGAGGUAAGUGGAAUUCCGAGUGUAGAGGUGAAAUUCGUAGAUAUUCGGAAGAACACCAGUGGCGAAGGCGGCUUACUGGCUCAUACUGGACGCUGAGGUGCGAAAGCGUGGGGAGCAAACAGGAUUAGAUACCCCGGUAGUCCCUGUCUCUUAUAC
rnacentral:rRNA from 1 species